GAUCCUGGCUCAGAUUGAACGCUGGCGGCAGGCCUAACACAUGCAAGUCGAACGGUAACAGGAAGAAGCUUGCUUCUUUGCUGACGAGUGGCGGACGGGUGAGUAAUGUCUGGGAAACUGCCUGAUGGAGGGGGAUAACUACUGGAAACGGUAGCUAAAUACCGCAUAACGUCGCAAGACCAAAGAGGGGGGACCUUCGGGCCUCUUGCCAUCGGAUGUGCCCAGAUGGGAUUAGCUAGUAGGUGGGUAACGG
rnacentral:rRNA from 1 species